rnacentral:rRNA from 1 species
ACGGAAGGCAGCAGUGGGGAAUAUUGGGCAAUGGGCGAAAGCCUGACCCAGCAACGCCGCGUGAAGGAAGAAGGUCUUCGGAUUGUAAACUUCUUUUAUGAGGGACGAAGGAAAUGACGGUACCUCAUGAAUAAGCCACGGCUAACUACGUGCCAGCAGCCGCGGUAAUACGUAGGUGCCAAGCGUUAUCCGGAUUUACUGGGUGUAAAGGGCGCGUAGGCGGGGAAGCAAGUCAGAUGUGAAAUCCAUGGGCUCAACUCAUGAACUGCAUUUGAAACUGUUUUUCUUGAGUGUCGGAGAGGUAGAUGGAAUUCCUAGUGUAGCGGUGAAAUGCGUAGAUAUUAGGAAGAACACCAGUGGCGAAGGCGACUUGCUGGACCGCAACUGACGCUGAGGCUCGAAAGCGUGGGGAGCAAACAGGAUUAGAUACCCUGGUA